CCUAGGCAUGGCUUGCACCUCUACAUGAUGCCUGGGACUAGUAGCCUGUUUGGUGAAGCCAAGCAAGC
rnacentral:ribozyme from 1 species